GAUGAACGCUGGCGGCGUGCCUAAUACAUGCGAGUCGAGCGAACAGACGAGGAGCUUGCUCCUCUGACGUUAGCGGCGGACGGGUGAGUAACACGUGGAUAACCUACCUAUAAGACUGGGAUAACUUCGGGAAACCGGAGCUAAUACCGGAUAAUAUAUUGAACCGCAUGGUUCAAUAGUGAAAGACGGUUUUGCUGUCACUUAUAGAUGGAUCCGCGCCGCAUUAGCUAGUUGGUAAGGUAACGGCUUACCAAGGCAACGAUGCGUAGCCGACCUGAGAGGGUGAUCGGCCACACUGGAACUGAGACACGGUCCAGACUCCUACGGAAGGCAGCAGUAGGGAAUCUUCCGCAAUGGGCGAAAGCCUGACGGAGCAACGCCGCGUGAGUGAUGAAGGUCUUCGGAUCGUAAAACUCUGUUAUUAGGGAAGAACAAAUGUGUAAGUAACUAUGCACGUCUUGACGGUACCUAAUCAGAAAGCCACGGCUAACUACGUG
rnacentral:rRNA from 1 species